AGUACAUAUAUGUACUUACCCCAUA
rnacentral:tRNA from 1 species